CGCCGCCUGUACCCAGUUUUGUUGCCUGUGUCCUGUCCUGCUGCCUGUAUCCCCCUACAGAGGUUCCCUCCGCCGCCUGUACCCAGUUUUGUUGCCUGUGUCCUGUCCUGCUGCCUGUACCUAGUCUCACUGCCUGUAUCCCCCUACACAGGUUGCCUCCGCCUGUCCCCAGUUUUGUUGCCUGUGUCCUGUCCUGCCACCUGUACCUAGUCUUGCUGCCUGUAUCCCCCUACAGAGGUUGCCUCUGCAUGUACUGUCUCGUCGUCUGUAACUAGUCUCACUGCCUCCGCCUGUACCCAGUCUCUCCGUCUGUAACUAGUCUCAUUCCCUGUAUCCCUCCUACAGAGGUUGCCCCCGCCUCUACCCAGUCUCACUGCCUCUGUCCGUAACUAGUCUCACUGCCUGUAUCCCUCCUACAGUAGUUGCCUCCGUCUGUAACUAGUCUCACUGCCUCCGUCUGUACCCUGUCUCACUGCCUGUUUGUACCUAGUCUCACUGCCUGUGUCUCUCCUACGGAGGUUGCCUCCGUCUGUAACUAGUCUCACUGCCUGUGUCCCUCCUACAGAAGUUGCCCCCGCCUCUACCCAGUCUCACUGCCUCUGCCUGUACUGUCUCACUGCCUGUAUCCCUCCUACAGAGGUCGCCUCCGCCUGUACCCUGUCUCGCCGUCUGUACCUAGUCUCACUGCCUGUGUCCCUCCUACUAAAGUUGCCUCCGCCUGUCCCCAGUCUCACUGCCUCCGCCUGUACCCAGUCUCACUGCCUCCGCCUGUACCCAGUCUCACUGUCUGUGUCCCUCCUACAGAGGCUACCUCUGCCUGUACCCAGUCUCACUACCUCCGCCUGUCCCCAGUCUCACUGCCUCCGCCUGUACCCAGUCUCACUGCCUCCGCCUGUACCCAGUCUCACUGUCUGUGUCCCUCCUACAGAGGCUACCUCUGCCUGUACCCAGUCUCGCUGCCUGUAACUAGUCUCACUCCCCGUGUCUCUCCUACAGAGGUCGCCUCCGUGUGUGCUUUCUUGGCAUCUGACGACAGCAGCUACAUCACAGGAGCCAGUGUGGAGGUGACAGGCGGCCUCUUCAUGUGAGGCUGAACACUGGGCUACAGGUGUGGGGUGCCAAGAUGCGGAGAAUAGAGCAGGCAAUUUCCAAGGAAUGUUUCCUGGGAGAAUCUCCCUGCUUUCCUCUCGUUGGGAUGGUGUACCUGAGAAGAUGGCCGCUCUCUGAUCUCUCUCUCACUGGGCUGUGUGCCUUUAUUGUUGAGGGAGCCUCUCAUACUGUACUGCACUGUGUAUGAUAAUGUCUCUGAUACUGGGGCUGUGUACAUUAAACCAGGACGAUGUCUGAUACUGGAGUAAGACAGAAAAUGCUGGGAAUACUCAGCAGAGUUGCUGUUUCAGGCUGAUCAGUUUGGACGUGUGAUGCAAUGAAUUUGUGCCUCAAGGCCCCAGGGUCCACACGGACCUCGGGUGCUGUCUGUGUGGAGUUUGCUUGUUCUCCCUGUGACUGUGUAGGUUUCAUCCCAUAUCCCAGGUUAAGUGACGGCUACAACUGCCCAGAGUGGGUUAAGAGAGGGAACAUAGAAAAAUAGAUGCAGUGGGCCAUUCAGCCCUUCGAGCCAGCACCACCAUUCAAUAUGAUCAUGACUGAUCGUCUAAAAACAGCAGCCCGUUCCUGCUUUUCCCCCCCCCCAUAUCCUUUAAUUCCUUUAUCCCUAAGAGCUACAGUAUAUCUAUCACUUGAAAACAUCUAGUGAAUUGGCCUCCACUGCCUUCUGUGGCAGAGAAUUCCACAGAUUCACAACGCUGGGUGAAAACGUUUUUCCUCAUCUCAGUGCUAAAUGGCCUACUGUGUAUUCUUAACUGAAACCUCAGGUUCUGGACUGCCCUGACAUCGGGACAUCUUCUCCUGCAUCUGGCCUGCCCAAUCCCUUAAGAAUUUUAUAUGUUUCUAUAAAAUGUUAUAUGUUUCUAUAGGAUCCCCUCACAUCCUUCUAAAUUCCAGUGAACAUCAGCCCAGUCGACCCAUUCUUUCAUCAGAUGACAGUCCAGCCAUCCCGGGAAUUAACCUGGUGAACCUACGCUGCACUCCCUCAAUAGCAAUAAUGUCCUUCCUCAAAUUAGGCACACAAUACCCCAGGUGCGAUCUCACCAGGGCCCUGUAUAACUGCAGUAGGACCUCCUUGCUCCUAAACUCAAAUCUUCUCGCAAUGAAAGGUAGAUCGGCCAUCGUAAAAUGGCUGAGUGGACUUGAUGGGCUGAGAAGUUAGGAGGUCAUGUUGCAUUUGUUGGUGAGACAACAAUUAUAGUUUUGUGUUCAUAUUAUCGAAAUAUGUUAAGCUGGAGAGGGUAGAGAAGAUUUACAAGGAUGUUGCCAGGCCUCUAGGGUCUGAGCUAUAGGGAGAGGUUGAGUAGGCUGAGACUCUAUUCCUUGGAGAGCAGGAGGAUGAAGCGUGAUCUUAUAGAGGAAUAUAUCGGGUAGAUGCAGUUUCUUGCCCAGAGUAGGUGAAUGGAAAACCAGAGGACAGAGUGAAAGGGGAAAGAUUUAAUAGGAAUCUGAAGGGUAGCUUUUUCACACAAUGGGUGGUGGGUGUAUGGAACAAGCUGCCAGAGGAGGUAGUUGAGGCAAGGACUAUCGCAAUGUUUAAUGAACAAUGAAACAAGUACAUGAAUAGGACAGGUUUGGUGGGAUAUGGACCAAAUGCAGACGUGGGAGUAGUGUAGCUGGGACAUGUUGGUCAGUGUGGGCAAGUUGUUUCCACGCUGUAUAUCACUCUCUCUCCCCACUGAUGCUGCCUGACCUGCUGAGUAUUUUGAGACUUCUGUUUUUAUUUCAGACUUUCAGCAUCACCGGUCUUGUGCUGAAA